GCAGAUUGUAGAUGGAUAGAAGCAGAUGGUGCUAGUCAAUAUGGGACUGUUGGAGGGUGUUUAGGAUUGUUUGUUUAUCUAGCUUUUCUGCAAAUGUAGAUGAUGCCAAUAGUUACUGGGUGAGUUUGCUUUCGAGAGGCGUGUAAUUCUAAUAUCGCAGAUUAAUGAAGUUCCGCUUCUCUUGGAAACCCUCUACGACGAAGAAAUGAAGAGUGUAGAACGCCAAAGUUUGACUUUGGAGCGUAUUAGGGCGACCUUUGUCAAAUUUCGCUGCAAACUCCCAGCAAUGGGGAUAUAUGAAAUAUAUAGCAUAGGUACCAUAUUGUGAUUUUACCCCAAUUACUUUUGACUCAUUGUAAGUUUGUUUGACGUGUUCCCCUUUUAGAUGACUUUCAGUUUGACCUAGACAACAGAUUGUUAAUGCAUCUUUGAGUUCUUCA